UACAGAGGUCCCAAGCGUUGCUCGGAUUCACUGGGCGUAAAGGGUGCGUAGGUGGUGAGGUAAGUCGGAUGUGAAAGCUCGGAGCUCAACUCCGAUAUGGCAUUGGAAACUACCUUGCUCGAGGGUUGGAGGGGAGACUGGAAUACUUGGUGUAGCAGUGAAAUGCGUAGAUAUCAGGUGGAACACCAGUGGCGAAGGCGAGUCCCUGGACAACUCCUGACACUGAGGAACGAAAGCUAGGGGAGCAAACAGG
rnacentral:rRNA from 1 species